UACGUAGGGUGCAAGCGUUGUCCGGAAUUAUUGGACGUAAAGAGCUCGUAGGCGGUCUGUCGCGUCUGCUGUGAAAACUCGGGGCUUAACCCCGGGCCUGCAGUGGGUACGGGCAGACUAGAGUGCGGUAGGGGAGACUGGAAUUCCUGGUGUAGCGGUGAAAUGCGCAGAUAUCAGGAGGAACACCGGUGGCGAAGGCGGGUCUCUGGGCCGUAACUGACGCUGAGGAGCGAAAGCAUGGGGAGCGAACAGG
rnacentral:rRNA from 1 species